rnacentral:rRNA from 1 species
GUUACUUCGGUACAUCGGUGACAGGUGGUGCAUGGUUGUCGUCAGCUCGUGUCGUGAGAUGUUGGGUUAAGUCCCGCAACGAGCGCAACCCCUAUUGUUAGUUGCCAUCAUUCAGUUGGGCACUCUAGCGAGACUGCCGGUAAUAAACCGGAGGAAGGUGGGGAUGACGUCAAAUCAUCAUGCCCCUUAUGACCUAGGCUACACACGUGCUACAAUGGUUGGUACAACGAGUUGCGAGUCGGUGACGGCGAGCUAAUCUCUUAAAGCCAAUCUCAGUUCGGAUUGUAGGCUGCAACUCGCCUACAUGAAGUCGGAAUCGCUAGUAAUCGCGGAUCAGCACGCCGCGGUGAAUACGUUCCCGGGCCUU